rnacentral:lncRNA from 1 species
CAUUGAGAAGCUCAGGGUGAGGUCCUCAGAGUGGCAUUUUUGUUUUUUCUGUACUUCUAGGCGUAAGCUGAUUUUCUAAAAAUAAGUAUUCCUCUGAUUGGUACAAUCAAGGUCUUAGCCUCUAUUUCUGAGGUGACCAAGGUACACAGGAGCCAUGGUCACAUAGCAAAAAGUAUGUAAAGGUGCUACAAAGAGCAGCCCCUUCCAGUGCAUCAUAUCACGAUUGUUUGGGACCCUUAAGUACUCACAAAGCUUUGAACAAACAACCCUGAGGAGCCAGGGUUGUUUUGUGGCAUCCAGAGACUCUAAGUCCCUAAGGGAUAGAAGUGCCAUGAGACAAGACAAACCUAGGUGCUUGGAUCACCACAUGGAAAAAAAAAAAAAAACACCAGGAACAUCUUUAUCAAUUGUUGUGUGAAACCAGGCAUAGUGGCCCACUCCUGUAAUCACAGCACUCGAGAGGCAGAGGCAGGAGGAUCACUGCAAGUUUGAGGCCAACUUAGGUUAAUGACAUAAGGAAUUCAAGGCCAGCCUGUGCUACAAAGUGAGACCUUGUCUCAAAAAACGUAACAAAAAAAAUUGUUACCUGAAUAGGAAAUAUAGUUGGCUCUCCGUACCCCUGGAUUCCACAUCUGCAGAUUCACUCAACCACAGGUUGAAAAUAUUUGGAAAAAAUCUGCACCUGUACCAAACACAUGUAGACUUUUUCUCAUCAUUAUUCCAUGAACAAUAAAAUAUAAUAACUGUUUACAUUGUAUCGAGUAUUAGAAGUAACCUAGAGAUGAUUUUGUAUAUUUGAGGAGGUGCAUGUUAUUUGCAGGCAUUACAUCAUUUUAUUUAAGACUUAAGCAUCCUUGGAUUUUGGUUAUCUGAGGGAUGUUCUGGAGCUAAUCCCACAUGGAUAGCUAGUGACUGCUAUAGGUAUUACUGAGUGUAAUCAGUGAAAUUGCUAUUUAUGUUACCCAGCAUUUUCCUAAUUAAUACAUAAGCUAACUCUCAUUUCUCUACUUCCAUCUAAUAUUUUAAUGUCCUUUAAAAGGAAUCAUGGAAGGCGGUUUGUAUAAUGAUCAUCAUUGUGCACACAGGGCAGGGGCAACUGUGCAUGCUUGCUAAUACCAGCUGUUCCGGAGGCUGAGGCAGAAAAAUCCCAAGUUUGAGGGGAGCCUGGACAACUUACAGAGACCUCAUCUCAAAGAAUAGAAAAUACACC